rnacentral:rRNA from 1 species
GUCUGGGACACUGCCUGAUGGACGGGGAUAACUACGGAAAACGGUAACUAAUACCGCCUAACGGCGCAAGACCAAAGAGGGGGACCUUCGGCCCUCUUGCCUUCGGAUGUGCCCGGAUGGGAUUAUGUUGUAGGUGGGGUACCGGCUCACCUAGGCCACUAUCCCUACCUGGACUGAGAGGAUGACCACCCACACUGAAACUGAGACCCGACCCCUACUCCUACGGGAGGCGG